rnacentral:rRNA from 1 species
AUGGCCAAGAUCAGCUCAAGAAGGCGCAAGAACUUCAUCAACGCUCUAAAAGUGGGAGACAACGUUGUGACUGUGCACACUGAGAAGGAAAAGGCAAUACAUGAUCAUUUCAACUGCAUCCUGGGAUCCACACAGCACCGAACCACGUCGAUCAAUUGGGAUGAGCUGCGUAUGCCUUCUGUGCAAGCAAAUGGCCUGGGCAACCUGUUCUCCGAGGAAGAGGUUUGGGCGGCGAUAAAGGAUUCACCAGCGGAGAAAUCGCCAGCGCCGGACGGGUUUUGCGGCGUCUUCUUUCGGAGUUGCUGGAGCAUAAUAAAGACGGAUAUCAUGCAGGCAUUCCAGCAGUUAUACCACCAUGCUGGGCCAAAUUUUGGGGCUCUGAACUCUGCGAUCGCCGCACUCAUCCCCAAGAAGGACGGAGCGGAGUCCAUUGCUGAUUACAGACCGAUCAGUCUGAUUCAUUCAAUUGCGAAGCUGUUCUCCAAGGUUCUAUCAAUCCGGCUUGCUUCGGUGGUGCAGUCGAUCAUCUCGCCUGCCCAGACGGCUUUCCUGAAGACUAGAUGCUUGCACGACAGCUUUGUCUACGUC